GACGAACGCUGGCGGCGUGCCUAAUACAUGCAAGUAGAACGCUGAAGGAGGAGCUUGCUCUUCUGGAUGAGUUGCGAACGGGUGAGUAACGCGUAGGUAACCUGCCUGGUAGCGGGGGAUAACUAUUGGAAACGAUAGCUAAUACCGCAUAACAGUAGAUGUUGCAUGACAUUUACUUAAAAGGUGCAAUUGCAUCACUACCAGAUGGACCUGCGUUGUAUUAGCUAGUUGGUGGGGUAACGGCUCACCAAGGCGACGAUACAUAGCCGACCUGAGAGGGUGAUCGGGCACACUGGGAAUGAGACACGGGCCAGACUCCUACGGGAGGGAGCAGUAGGGAAUCUUCGGCAAUGGACGGAAGUCUGACAGAGCAACGCCGCGUGAGUGAAGAAGGGUUUCGGAUCGGAAAACUCUGUUGUAAGGGGAGGAAGAGUGGGAGAGUGAAAAGUUCACAUUGUGACGGUAUCUAACCAGAAAGGGACGGCUAACUACGUG
rnacentral:rRNA from 1 species